rnacentral:rRNA from 1 species
GCGGGGGAGCACUACAACGGGUGGAGCCUGCGGUUUAAUUGGAUUCAACGCCGGGAAGCUUACCGGGGGAGACAGCUCGAUGAAGGUCGGGCUGAAGACCCUACCAGAGUAGCUGAGAGGUGGUGCAUGGCCGCCGUCAGUUCGUACUGUGAAGCAUCCUGUUAAGUCAGGCAACGAGCGAGACCCGCGCCCCCAGUUGCCAGCGGGUCCCUUCGGGGAUGCCGGGCACACUGGGGGGACUGCCGGCGCUAAGCCGGAGGAAGGUGCGGGCAACGGCAGGUCCGUAUGCCCCGAAUCCCCCGGGCUACACGCGGGCUACAAUGGCCGGGACAAUGGGUACCGACCCCGAAAGGGGGAGGUAAUCCCCUAAACCCGGCCCCACCUGGGAUCGAGGGCUGCAACUCGCCCUCGUGAACCUGGAAUCCGUAGUAAUCGCGCCUCAAAAUGGCGCGGUGAAUACGUCCCUGCUCCUUGCACACACCGCCCGUCACGCCACCCAAGUGGGCCAGGGGCGAGGCCCGCUCCUAAGGGGCGGGUCGAGCCCAGGGUCCGCGAGGGGGGCGAAGUCGUAACAAGGUAGCCGUAGGGGAACCUGCGGCUG